CAACCCUGAUCUAGCCAUGCCGCGUGUGUGAUGAAGGCCCUAGGGUCGUAAAGCACUUUCGCCAGGGAUGAUAAUGACAGUAUCUGGUAAAGAAACCCCGGCUAACUCCGUGCCAGCAGCCGCGGUAAUACGGAGGGGGUUAGCGUUGUUCGGAAUUACUGGGCGUAAAGCGCACGUAGGCGGAUUAGUAAGUUAGAGGUGAAAUCCCAGGGCUCAACCCUGGAACUGCCUUUAAUACUGCUAGUCUUGAGUUCGAGAGAGGUAAGUGGAAUUCCGAGUGUAGAGGUGAAAUUCGUAGAUAUUCGGAGGAACACCAGUGGCGAAGGCGGCUUACUGGCUCGAUACUGACGCUGAGGUGCGAAAGUGUGGGGAGCAAACAGGAUUAGAUACCCUGGUAGUCCACACCGUAAACGAUGAAUGCCAGACGUCAGCAAGUAUACUUGUUGGUGUCACACCUAACGGAUUAAGCAUUCCGCCUGGGGAGUACGGUCGCAAGAUUAAAACUCAAAGGAAUUGACGGGGGCCCGCACAAGCGGUGGAGCAUGUGGUUUAAUUCGAUG
rnacentral:rRNA from 1 species